rnacentral:rRNA from 1 species
GUAACGGGGAAUUAGGGUUCGAUUCCGGAGAGGGAGCCUGAGAAACGGCUACCACAUCUAAGGAAGGCAGCAGGCGCGCAAAUUACCCAAUCCUAAUACAGGGAGGUAGUGACAAGAAAUAACAAUACAGAACCUUACGGUUUUGUAAUUGGAAUGAGUUAAGUAUAAACCCCUUAACAAGUAUCAAUUGGAGGGCAAGUCUGGUGCCAGCAGCCGCGGUAAUUCCAGCUCCAAUAGCGUAUAUUAAAGUUGUUGCAGUUAAAAAGCUCGUAGUUAAUCUUCUGUUAAUUUUUAUAUAUAAUAUCACGAUAUUUAUAUAAUAUUAACAUAAUUCAUAUUACUUUUUAGUAUAUGAAACUUUACUUUGAGAAAAUUAGAGUGCUUAAAGCAGGCUAUUGCCUUGAAUACUCCAACAUGGAAUAAUAUUAAGGAUUUUUAUUCUUCUUAUUGGUUCUAGAAUAAAAAUGAUGAUUAAUAGGGAC